AUUGAACGCUGGCGGCAUGCUUUACACAUGCAAGUCGAACGGUAACAGGCCUUCGGGUGCUGACGAGUGGCGAACGGGUGAGUAAUACAUCGGAACGUGCCCGGCCGUGGGGGAUAACGCAGCGAAAGCUGUGCUAAUACCGCAUCCGAUCUGCGGAUGAAAGCGGGGGACCGGCAGCGAUGGUUUGGCCGGAGCGGUCGGAGCGGGCGAUGUCAGAUUAGGUAGUUGGUGGGGUAAAGGCCUACCAAGCCGACGAUCUGUAGCUGGUCUAAGAGGAUGAUCAGCCACACUGGGACUGAGACACGGCCCAGACUCCUACGGGAGGCAGCAGUGGGGAAUUUUGGACAAUGGGCGCAAGCCUGAUCCAGCCAUGCCGCGUGCGGGAUGAAGGCCUUCGGGUUGUAAACUGCUUUUGUACGGAACGAAAAGCCUCUGUCUAAUACAGAGAGGUCAUGACGGUACCGUAAGAAUAAGCACCGGCUAACUACGUG
rnacentral:rRNA from 1 species